ensembl:lncRNA
AUGACGGACAUGGUUUCUUUUUGUUUUAAAAAUCAAUUUGAUUGGCCACAGGAAACGUAUCUUGGCAUCUCUAGGAGACAGGCUGCACGACGAUCCACCACAGAAGCCCCCUCGGUCCAUCACCCUCAGGGUAAGUACCCAGCAUGCUUGUUUUGUCCUCCACUCUUAUCCCCGAAAAUUAUUUUGUGCCAUAAAAUAAAAAUGAUUACGCAGUGGGUCAGGAAGUACAGGCUGUUUUCCAUGUAGCCUACCUCACCUGUAUAAAAAACUAUCUCGCCUUUGAUAGUGUUUUCUACGAAAAGAUUUGUUUUUCUCGGUUGGUUAAAUAUAUAUUUUUGAGAUUUAAAUUAACAUCUGAAAAACCACCACCUUUAAAGAACCUCUCCGCUACCCCGCAUCCCACACACCCCUCUACACCAAGAGAAGAAAUGAGUUUUCUGUCAAACUCCUCAAACCCACAGGUAGAAAAUCGAUGAGGACCAGAGUUAAGUAAAAGAUCAAUUUAAAAUUAACCUUAGGGUCUUCUGUUUUUUAAGAAGUGAAAAUUUUUCAGCUUUGCCCACUUCAAAAAUUAAGAACAGAGAAUCUAGAACUUUAUUUAGUAAACUGUUUCAGCUGUAUUUUAGAAUUAUGGGGUAGAAAAACUAGGAGGAAGAGAGAAAUAAAGUGGAAGAGGAACGAAGGCAAGAAAGAGCAGAGGGAAGGAGACAGAGAGAAGAUUGCCAGGCAGAAUGGCAGCGGAAGGAGUAGCCAGUGGUCGCUGAUGUUCAUGAGGCCUGUAGAAACGUUUCAAAAAUUUACCAUAAAGGCAGGAUCACCAUGACCAGUUGGAGAGUUCCAACUCUGUUCUCUUUAUUGAGUCCUGCACUUGCUUGCUUCUGAUUCCUUUUCUGCAAGUGUCAGAAAGGGUAGUGAUAAUAAACGAACACAAAAGUAGCACUUAGAUGUCACUGCCAGCGAUGAAAUGCAGUUGAAUGCCUCUUAUCAGUGGACUUCAGCAAACAGUAACUACUGUCAGUAUCACAGAGGAUCGAGCAGGAGAGGAGCUGUUAAGAUUUUAAAGCUGAUUCAGUUUUAAAGGAAAAGAAAAUACACAAAGACUUCAGGAAAUGCAAGAGAAUUGGCUCCAGGAGGGCCAUGAGGAAAACUGACGAUUGGGACAGUUGGAAUACACUGGUUUAUUUGGAGGCUAGUGAGGGCUUAGGGAGUAGUGAAGAUAGAAGAGGACCUAUUUCUCCCUCAGUAAGAAAAAUAAAUUGGGGGAAAAUAAGGCUAGAAAGGGAUUAUCGUUUUUGCCUUUGUUUUGCUACACAAAAGAGGAGAAAGAUACAGGCACCAUCAGUGUAACCAUCCUAAAAUGACCCUCUCGAGGAGUAAUUCCCUGCUACUUACCCUACUGUCUUUCCUUCCUCUGCUGAACCUCUCCCUCUGGCUCUCUGGAAGAGAUUUAGGGAAACAACAGACAAAUGAAAGACAGAAGUUCCCAAGAAAAAGUGUAGGACCUUAAUCCAUCAAAGGAGGUCCAGAACAUCUUGGGGAGAAGUAGCCUGGAGAAUCGGCACGAUCCAAUCCUCCACUUACUUGCACACAUCAGAGCCCAGCUGUCUUCCCCCCUUUAUCUUACUUCUUUUUUUUUUUUUUUUUUUUUUUUUU